rnacentral:rRNA from 1 species
GAUGAACGCUGGCGGCGUGCCUAAUACAUGCAAGUCGAGCGAACGGACGAGAAGCUUGCUUCUCUGAUGUUAGCGGCGGACGGGUGAGUAACACGUGGAUAACCUACCUAUAAGACUGGGAUAACUUCGGGAAACCGGAGCUAAUACCGGAUAAUAUUUUGAACCGCAUGGUUCAAAAGUGAAAGACGUUCUUGCUGUCUCUUAUAGAUGGAUCCGCGCUGCAUUAGCUAGUUGGUAAGGUAACGGCUUACCAAGGCAACGAUGCAUAGCCGACCUGAGAGGGUGAUCGGCCACACUGGAGCUGAGACACGGUCCAGACUCCUACGGGAGGCAGCAGUAGGGAAUCUUCCGCAAUGGGCGAAAGCCUGACGGAGCAACGCCGCGUGAGUGAUGAAGGUCUUCGGAUCGUAAAACUCUGUUAUUAGGGAAGAACAUAUGUGUAAGUAACUGUGCACAUCUUGACGGUACCUAAUCAGAAAGCCACGGCUAACUACGUG